rnacentral:rRNA from 1 species
CGGGAGGCAGCAGUAGGGAAUUUUGCGCAAUGGACGAAAGUCUGACGCAGCGACGCCGCGUGAGGGAUGACGGCCUUCGGGUUAUAAACCUCUGUCGAGUGGGACGAAAACUCGCAGGGUUAAUACCCCUGCGACCUGACGGUACCACUCGAGGAAGCUCCGGCUAACUACGUGCCAGCAGCCGCGGUAAUACGUAGGGAGCAAGCGUUGUUCGGAAUCACUGGGCGUAAAGGGAGUGUAGGCGGGAAAGUAAGUUAGGAGUGAAAUACACAGGCUUAACCUGUGGCCCGCUUUUAAUACUGCUUUUCUUGAGUAUGGGAGAGGAAGAUGGAAUUCCAGGUGUAGCGGUGGAAUGCGUAGAUAUCUGGAAGAACACCAGUAGCGAAGGCGGUCUUCUGGCCCAAUACUGACGCUGAGGCUCGAAAGCUAGGGGAGCAAACAGGAUUAGAUACCCUGGUAGUCCUAGCCGUAAACGAUGGACACUAGUUGUCGGGGGAGUCAAUCCCUUCGGUGACGAAGCUAACGUAUUAAGUGUCCCGCCUGGGGAGUACGCUCGCAAGGGUGAAACUCAAAGGAAUUGACGGGGGCCCGCACAAGCGGUGGAGCAUGUGCUUUAAUUCGAUGCAACGCGAAGAACCUUACCUGGGUUUGACAUGGGGGUGAAAGUAACCAGAGAUGGAUACCUUUCCUUCGGGAACACCCCACACAGGUGCUGCAUGGUUGUCGUCAGCUCGUGUCGUGAGAUGUUGGGUUAAGUCCCGCAACGAGCGCAACCCCUACCCUUAGUUGCCAGCGGGUUAUGCCGGGAACUCUAGGGGGACUGCCUGGACUAACCAGGAGGAAGGCGGGGAUGACGUCAAAUCCUCAUGGCCCUUACGCCCAGGGCUAGACACGUGCUACGAUGGCCGGUACAAUAGGCUGCGAACUCGCGAGAGUAAGCUAAUCCGAUAAAACCGGCCUCAGUUCGGAUUGGAGUCUGCAACUCGACUCCAUGAAGGUGGAAUCGCUAGUAAUCGCGGAUCAGCAUGCCGCGGUGAAUACGUUCCCGGGCAUUGUACACACCGCCCGUCAAGCCAUGAAAGACGGUAGUGCCCGAAGUCGUUCCCCUAACCCUCGGGAAGGGUGCGCCGAAGGUAAGAC